rnacentral:rRNA from 1 species
CCCUUAGAUGUCCUGGGCCGCACGCGCGCUACACUGAUGCAUUCAACGAGUAUUUCCUUGGCCGAGAGGCCUGGGCAAUCUUUUAAACCUGCAUCGUGAUAGGGAUAGAUUAUUGCAAUUAUUAAUCUUGAACGAGGAAUUCCUAGUAAACGCAAAUCAUCAAUUUGCAUUGAUUACGUCCCUGCCCUUUGUACACACCGCCCGUCGCACCUACCGAUUGAAUGGUCCGGUGAAAUCUCGGGAUUGUGGCCAGUUCACUUUAUUGGGAGUUGGCUGCGAGGACUUGCUUAAACCUUAUCAUUUAGAGGAAGGUGAAGUCGUAACA